CACCGCCCGUCGCUCCUACCGAUGAAUGUCCGUGAAGUUAGAUCGUGCGACGUGGCGUUCGCUGCCCGCGACGUCGCGAGAAUUCCACUGAACCUUAUCAUUAGAGGAAGGAGAAGUCGUAACAAGUUCCGUAGUGAACCUGCGGAAG
rnacentral:ncRNA from 1 species